GGGCUACCCACUUCAGGUCCCCUCUUGUGUCAAGAGCUGUUCUGUUGUCUCUUCUCUGCCUUGCUUAUUCUCCAGUUGUCCAUGUAACCUCAUUCUUCUUGGACAUGGGACAAGAACCCAGUACCCACCAAAUGGCAGGUGCAAAAAAUGCUGUAACACUGUAGCCCUCCAACCCUCUGCUGGCACCAGGCUGUUGCUUCAUGUAACAGGAAGCAGUGGCAAUGGGGCCAGGCCAGCCAAGAAGCUAUGAGCUGGAAUGUGGGCAGCAGGACUGAACAAGCUGUAAAACAAAUGAGCUGAAACUUGCUGCCCUCCCACCCCCAUUCACUGUGCUGCAGGCAGUGGAAAGAAGAGAGAGAUGUAUCACUCCUUGAGGGCUCAGACCUCAGGACUCCCCAAGCAACUGUAACACCCCUUGGGCUCCACAGUUGCUGGCAUCUCUGAGUUUUCAGAAGCCACUGCAGCCUCCUUGUCCAGACACUGGCACCCAAGCAGAAAUGAUUCAAGACAGCACACCCGGACCAGUCAUGGACUGAGCACAGAGUUGGCAGGCACUGGAUCCAGGCCCAUAGCACAAGCUGAGUGCAAUCACUGGGCUGAGUGAGAGGAGUAAGCCUAGCAGAAAACCCAGUGCCAAGCAAAGCCUGAGCAAAGGCACCACUAGCCACAGAGCUUUCCUGCUGGCAAAGGAGCACCAAAAGAAUCCUGUGUCAUUUCUGGGGGUCAUCUGAGAUCUGCAAAAGGAAUAUGAAAAUAGAUGCAAUUUAAGUUGGGAAAAGUCAAAGGUGACAUUAAAAAAUAUUUCACAACUAGCUGAAUUUGUGUGCAGCACAUUGUUGCUCCAGCUUAAAAACCUCCUGUGUGGUAAAUGCUUGGCAGCCCUGGGGAAGGCAAUGAACACGGUGAAAUUCAGUGCAGUGUGGUAAGACAAGGAGAGCAUGAAUAAUAUUUGGAGAUCUAGCACACCUUAGUGGAAACAAUUAUUAUUACAACUGCUUUGAAGACAUUUGAAUUUUAAACUCCAUUGUUUGUGAAAUUCUAUUUUGACUAAAUAGAGGGACUUUGUUCAGGCUUUUGUUGUCUUUAGCAUGAUGUGUUUCUUUCCUAAACUCCACACAGAUAAGAAGAUAAAUUUGAUCAUGAAUUUCUAAAAGUAGAAAUCAUAGGUUUUUUAGAAUUAGCAUAAAAUUAUUGUACAACCCUCCAUGGGCUAUCAAAUUGGGAGCAAUCCAAUUUUAUUUGCCAUCAUGGUCACAUAUAAAGUGUCAGAUUAUUCUUGUUAGAUGAUUAUUGUACAUUUAACUUAGAAAAGCUUCUCAGGUCUGCUCCUGAGAUGCUUGAAAGACUUUUGGUUUAAAUAGGUUGCAUAUGUUCUGCUGUUAAUGGCUGACCGUUUUUAUUUCAUAUUACUAAAAUGUAAUCAAGAAAAAGAGAGUAGAAAAUACAUCGCAAAUAUUCAGUCUACUAUCUAGACAAUUUCAAAAGCUUUCAAUUUUAUCUCCUGUUCCAUUAUCUUCAAUUGUAGAGUUUGGAUAGGAAAAGAAUUCAAAAAUAAAUACAAAACAUUCAUUCCAAUACAUGAAGAAAAUUAGCCCUGUUCAUGUACAUUUUCUAAUAUGGAUAUGUUUCUAAAAAUCAGAAUAUAAUAUUUAUGGAGUCAUUAGUAAAAUGCACUUGAUUAUCUAAGAAUCUCAACUGCUUGAUGCUUGAUCAAAAACUAGGUAGAAACUAAAUCAUGCCUAUCAACAAUUAAAUAUUUCUGAAAAGGGGACUUCCAAAAUGGUAGAAUAAGAAGCUCAGCAAAUACUUUCCCUAAAAAGUGACAACAGGGGUGGAGCCAAGAUGGCUGAAUAGGAAUAGCUCCAGUCUAUAGCUCCCAGUGUGAGCGACACAGAAGAUGGGUGAUUUCUGCAUUUCCAACUGAGGUACUGGGUUCAUCUCACUGGGGAGUGUCAGACAGUGGGUGCAGGACAAUGGAAGCAGUGCACUGAGUGUGAGCCAAAGCAGGGCAAGGCAUCACCUCACCCGGGAAGCACAAGGGGUCAGAGAAUUCCCUUUCCUAGUCAAAGAAAGGGGUGACAGAUGGCACCUGGAAAAUCAGGUCACUCCCACCCUAAUACCGCACCUUUCCAAUGGUCUUAGCAAAUGGCACACCAGGAGAUUAUAUCCCACGCAUGGCUUGGAGGGUCCUAUGCCCAUGGAGCCUCACUCAUUGCUAGCACAGCAGGCUGAGAUCAAACUGCAAGGUGGCAGUGAGGCUGGGGGAGGGGAGCCCACCAUUGCUGAGGCUUGAGUAAGUAAACAAAGUGGCUGGAAAGCUCGAACUGGGUGGAGCCCACCGCAGCUCAAGCAGGCCUGCCUGCCUCUGUAGACUCCACCUCUGGGGGCAGGGCAUAGCCAAACAAAAGGCAGCAGAAACCUCUGCAGACCUUAAUGUCCCUGUCUGACAGCUUUGAAGAGAGU
rnacentral:lncRNA from 10 species